CCGGGCCGGGCCUUCGGGCCCGAGGCGGCGGCGGCGGUAUAAAGCCGGCGACUGGGAGCAUGUAAUGUCGGAAUGCGGAGGCCGCGGCGGCGGCAGCAGCAGCAGCGAGGACGCCGAGGACGAGGGAGGGGGCGGCGGCGGCGGCGGCCCCGCGGGCUCCGACUGUUUCAGCCCGAGCCCGGCCCCGGCCACAGCGUCCUCGGCGGGCCGGCUCCGUCGCGGGCUGCGUGGCGCCUCCCUUAUGGCGCGCCAGCGGCCGGAGCUGCUCUGCGGGGCGGUGGCGCUAGGCUGCGCGCUGCUCCUCGCCCUCAAGUUCACCUGCAGUCGAGCAAAAGAUGUGAUAAUACCAGCAAAGCCACCUGUCAGCUUUUUCUCCCCGAGGUCUCCAGUCCUUGACCUCUUCCAGGGGCAGCUGGACUAUGCAGAGUAUGUUCGACGGGAUUCAGAGGUGGUACUGCUGUUCUUCUAUGCCCCUUGGUGUGGACAGUCCAUCGCUGCCAGGGCAGAAAUUGAGCAAGCAGCGAGUCGGCUUUCAGAUCAGGUGUUGUUUGUGGCAAUUAACUGUUGGUGGAACCAGGGGAAAUGCAGAAAACAGAAACACUUCUUUUAUUUUCCUGUAAUAUAUCUGUAUCAUCGGAGCCUGGAGUACUUGGGUACUUUGAGUUCAGUGGCUCACCCCAGCCUCCUGGUUAUUUGACCUUCUUCACCUCAGCAUUACAUUCAUUAAAGAAAGGUCUUCCCCAGGGAGGCCCUGAACUACACAGCUGAGAACAUCUGUAAGUGGGCCUUGGAAAACCAGGAGACGCUCUUUCGGUGGCUGCGGCCACACGGAGGCAAGAGUCUCCUGCUGAAUAACGAGCUGAAGAAAGGACCAGCGCUGUUUCUGUUCAUACCUUUUAAUCCCCUGGCCAAAAGUCAUCCUUUA
rnacentral:sRNA from 1 species